rnacentral:lncRNA from 1 species
CCCACAGUGAAGCCAGGAGGGCCUUCAUUUCAGACUCAGCAGCUGCCCACGGUGGUGGCUGACACACUGCUGUAGCAUGUGUGCUGCCUGAACACUCACUGGCCACCCCCACAGCCCAGAGCACUGGCAUCAUCUGUACUAUCGGCCUAGUUUCCUGAUUGGUGGAAAUGUUGAUGAUUAAGUCUGGAAUUAAUAUGGCUUGUCUGAACUUACGAGUACCACGCAGAGACCAUCAGGAAUGUGUGCACAACUAUGGAAAGCCUUGCUUCUGACCCCAAUCUCUAGCGGCUAGUUGCUGUGGCUCUGGACACUAACGGGCCUGAGAUCUGAACUGGGCUCACACAGAGCAGUGUCCCCAUGGAGGUGGAGCUGAAGAAGGGAGCCACCUUCAGAUCACACUGGAUAAUGCCUACAUGGAAAACUUAUGAUGAGAACUUCCUGUAGCUGGACUACAAGAACAUUUGUAAGGUAGUGGAAAGGGGCAGCAAGAUCUAUAGAUUUAAUAACUUAUUUCUCUGCAGUUGGAGCAGAAAGGUACUGACCUCCUGGUGAUAGCAAUGGAAAAUUAUGGCUCCUUGGGCAGCAAAAAGGGUGUAGACCUUCCUGGUGACUGUGGACCUGCUUGCCAUGUCAGAAAAGGACAUCCAGGAUCUGAAGUUUGGGGUAGAAUGGGAUGUGGAUAUGGUGUUUGCCUCUUUCAUCCAUGUGGCAUCUA